UCUACCUGGAGAAUGUAUCAGAUGAAAAUGUACUAGCUGUCAGAAAAUUAAAUUCAGUGAUUAAUUCAGAUCCUCGUGUUGAGCAGGUGAUUUUGCCUGUUCAGAGUGGACUGAGCCUCAUUCGGAGGAGCCCUGUGCCUCCAGAUGCAGUGAUUGAAUCCAAGUCUUUCAGAUCAGCUGGUCCUGUGAUGAAUCUCUGGAGCCACUCGUGUGCUGCUCACCAGGUGUCAGUGCCUGGUGCUCUCCCAUCCUUCCCAUCCAGAGGAGUGUGGGAAGAUGGAGCUGAAGACCAGCUGAAAAGAACCAGGA